AGAAAUAAUUAAAAUAAUAAGCUUCUAACUUAAUUAUUAAAUGUUAAAAUCAUUUUUAUUUCUU
rnacentral:tRNA from 1 species